rnacentral:rRNA from 1 species
UGAGGAAUAUUGGUCAAUGGUCGAAAGCCUUACCCAGCAACGCCGCGUGAGGGAAGAAGGUUUUCGGAUUGUAAACCUCUGUCCUGGGGGACGAAGGAAGUGACGGUACCCCGGGAGGAAGCCCCGGCUAACUACGCGCCAGCAGCCGCGGUAAUACGUAGGGGGCGAGCGUUGUCCGGAAUUAUUGGGCGUAAAGGGCGCGUAGACGGCCGAGUAAGUUAUAGGUGAAAGCCCAUCUUUCAAGGAUGGAAUUGCCUGUAAUACUGCUUGGCUUGAGUGCAGGAGAGGGAAGCGGAAUUCCUAGUGUAGCGGUGAAAUGCGUAGAUAUUAGGAGGAACACCAGUGGCGAAGGCGGCUUUCUGGACUGUAACUGACGUUGAGGCGCGAAAGCGUGGGGAGCAAACAGGAUUAGAUACCC